AAGAGCACACUAUUAUUUAUAAACAGUGGAUGAAUGCAUUGACUUCAGAUAUAUCAUCUUUCUGAAUGGAAAAUAUCUGUUUGACAACACAAUUUCAAAGGCUAACUCCUGUGAUAUUGCACAGUAUAAAAAUAUCUGAAAACACUGUUUUUAUGGUUUUAAGCAUAAAUAUAAUAACAUUUUGGGCAAAUACCUUACUUAAUUUUAAGGGUAGGUAGGUAAAAUGAAUACUUUCAAGAAUCCAUUAAAUUCAUCAAAAAAAAGUAUUGAUAUUCUCUGAAAACAAUUAAGGACCUGUAUAUGUACAUUUUAGAAUUAUUAUUAUUAUAUUUGAUCAAUUUCUUAAGGAAGUCUGGAUAUUUUUACUGGAAAACAAGACAA